UACAGAGGUCUCAAGCGUUGUUCGGAUUCAUUGGGCGUAAAGGGUGCGUAGGCGGCGCGGUAAGUCGGGUGUGAAAUCUCGGAGCUUAACUCCGAAACUGCAUUCGAUACUGCCGUGCUUGAGGACUGGAGAGGAGACUGGAAUUUUACGGUGUAGCGGUGAAAUGCGUAGAUAUCGUAAGGAAGACCAGUGGCGAAAGGC
rnacentral:rRNA from 1 species